GUCCCCUUUUUAGCUUUGCCCUCUUAAGGCUGUUAGUGCUUUAAGUGGCCAGUAUGGAGGGGUAAAUUAAUUCUCCCUUAAACCUAGAGUUGAGGAUAGUACUUAACUCUGGAUCCUGUCUGGAGGAACAAAA
ensembl:snoRNA